ACCAUGUUCUCUGUUUCUGUGCUGCUGCUGCUGGCAGCUGCUUCCUAUGUGCAUGGUCUUGAACUCAGCCAGCCAGGCUCAAUGGUUGUGAAGCCAGGAGAGAUUCUGACUCUCACCUGUAAGGUGUCUGGCUAUUCUGUCAGUGACAAUAGUGCCAGCUAUGCAACUGGAUGGAUUCGACAACCUGCAGGGAAAGCACUGGAGUGGAUUUUCAACAUAUGGGAUGACGGAGAUACCUACAAAAAUAAUGCACUAACAAACAAGUUCAGUAUCUCUAGAGACACCCUCAGCAACUCAGUAACUCUAAAAGGACAGAAUCUGCAGACUGAGGACACAGCAGUAUAUUACUGUGCUCGCCACCCUCCACAUGGAUACAAACCUACAGCAGACAUGUACAUAAACCCUCUCCUCACUAGAUAGAGAUGAAUAUGUGUAAACCUGGAGGGGGCGAUCUUAAUCAAAGAAAACUUUAAAUAAAAUGCCAUUGACUGUAGAAACGUAGAGGACACUGGGGAGUGACAACAGGGAAUGU